AUUCUUUCCCAGUUCAUAAGCAUGAUUAUUGGUUGUUCACACAAUCGUGUGUUAUGUGCUUCUCUUAAAUCUUGUUAUGCAUUUGGCAUAUUACCCAUAUGACA